rnacentral:rRNA from 1 species
GAUGAACGCUGGCGGCGUGCCUAAUACAUGCGAGUCGAGCGAACGGACGAGAAGCUUGCUUCUCUGAUGUUAGCGGCGGACGGGUGAGUAACACGUGGAUAACCUACCUAUAAGACUGGGAUAACUUCGGGAAACCGGAGCUAAUACCGGAUAAUAUUUUGAACCGCAUGGUUCAAAAGUGAAAGACGGUCUUGCUGUCACUUAUAGAUGGAUCCGCGCUGCAUUAGCUAGUUGGUAAGGUAACGGCCUACCAAGGCAACGAUGCAUAGCCGACCUGAGAGGGUGAUCGGCCACACUGGAACUGAGACACGGUCCAGACUCCUACGGGAGGCAGCAGUAGGGAAUCUUCCGCAAUGGGCGAAAGCCUGACGGAGCAACGCCGCGUGAGUGAUGAAGGUCUUCGGAUCGUAAAACUCUGUUAUUAGGGAAGAACAUAUGUGUAAGUAACUGUGCACAUCUUGACGGUACCUAAUCAGAAAGCCACGGCUAACUACGUG